rnacentral:lncRNA from 13 species
AGAAUGAUCAUUAAACAGUAACAGAGAUAAGCAUCUUUUACUUACAAAUGUCCCGCUGUCAGUAAGCAUAUAACUGACCAAUCCAAGAUGCCAGUUGCUGGUUGGGUUCCAAGCAGAAUGUUGGAGUAUUCUCUGGAGUUUGUUGUGGCUUCAGAAUCCACGGUUACUGGGCAGCGCCCUGUGGUGGCUGUAGUGCCAUGGAGGAGCUGCCAUCCUCUGAGGGGCUGCGCCCUGGGCUGACCCUUGGGAAGCUGGGCAAAAUGGUGGUGGAGCUGCUGCCCGCUGACCUGAGUCCACAACUCUCCUUCUGCUAUCUUCAGGAGAAUACACUGACAGGAUCUCCUUAUGUUGCCCAGACUGAACUUGAACUCCUGGCCUCAAGUGAUCCUGUUACCUUGCCCUGUCAAAAUCCUAGGAUCACAGGCGUGAGCCACCAUGCCUAGCCUGAAAUACGUAAUUUUAAAACAAAACCAGCUAUACGUUACUACAAGAAAAGGUAAAGAAAUCUGAAAAUAAAGAAAUUGACAAGUAUAAAAUAUAUGAUAGA